rnacentral:rRNA from 1 species
UACGUAGGGGGGCUAGCGUUGUCCGGAUUUAUUGGGCGUAAAGAGCGUGUAGGCGGCCAGGUAGGUCUGCUGUGAAAACUCGAGGCUCAACCUCGAGACGUCGGCGGAAACCAUCUGGCUAGAGUCCGGAAGAGGAGAGUGGAAUUCCUGGUGUAGCGGUGAAAUGCGCAGAUAUCAGGAAGAACACCCGUGGCGAAGGCGGGUCUCUGGGCAGUAACUGACGCUGAGGAGCGAAAGCGUGGGGAGCGAACAGG